rnacentral:sRNA from 1 species
UCCUCGGCUUGGCGCCUCUUCGGGCUAC